CUCCCCUCUAUCCCACCCCCAGUUCACUCCUCCUCAUGGGCAAGGGCUCCCAUGAGGAGUCCACAUAGUCUGGCACAAUAGGUUGGGGCAGGGCCAGGUCCCUCUCCCAUGCAUUAAGACUGAGCAUAGCAUCCCACCAUAGGGAGUGGGCUCCAACAGGCCAAGGGCUUGUUCUUUAACAGACAGGACAAGAGGGGCAAUGCAGCUAGAAUCUGGGAUGCAGCACAGACCUUAAGGCCCACAAGAACAAGAGACUACAGGAAAGAAAAGUGUGGGCUGCAGGCCUGAGCUCUAGUGUCUGUGGUCUGUGCUCUCAACCCUGAACAAAAUGGGAGAGAGCAGCAUGCUCAGGUAGCACCUUAACAUUUCUCCACAAUGAGAAGUAUGGUGCAGGAGAGGGACCUGCUACGUGCUGAUGAGAAACCGUGGCAUAGAAAAUAACUGGGAGACACCCAGGCUUGUCUGAACCCAGAACUUCCUGUUACCUAAGCCAGUCAUUCUGAUGUAGUUUCUCUUCAUAUACAUGUAGACACUUUUCUGCCAGUUUGUCAGCUUUGCCCACUCUUCCUCCGAAAAAUAUGUACAAAUAUCCUGGAAGGGCUAGAAAAGAAGGAAAUGGAAAUUCUGACAAUUAUUCUGCUGGACAUAUGUGCCAUUCAUCCCAGAAUGCCAUCUGUGUCGGGGGAACUCGGUGGUCCACCUAGAAAAUCAAGAUAAUUGAUCCUGGGGAAUGUGAGGGCCAGGUGAGACAUGUGAAUUACACUGGAAAUGCUCAGUGCUGCUUAUUUCUUCUUUCUCCCCACACAUACUUACAAGGGGCUGUGUCAUCAAAUGCAUUUAGUACUAGAUCACCAACCUGAAAUCCUCAAGGAUUCUGUAGAAGAACAUGAUGAGCAUGUGUGUGUGUAGAAACACAUUCUGAGACUUAUGGAGGUCCUGUGGAGACUUUGGUCCUUGUCCUGAAUGUCCCUACUUUCUACCCUCUGAGAAAUCUCUCUACAGUGGCCCUUGGUCACUCAGUUGCUUCUGUCCACACCUUGCCUGGUCACCAUACCUGAAAUACUUUCUUUGGUUCAUUAGUCUCUUCCGCAGGUCUCUCUCCAUGGCAACACUCUGCUUUCAUGUUGGCGGGAUCAGAGAUAUUCUGAAGACCCUAUCUGAUUUUCUUCCAACACAAAAUGUCCUGAGAAGGAAGGAGGAAAGUAACACUCAGAAAGUGAAAGAAAACUGAUUGUGAAGAAAAGAGCAUUCAGGAUCAUGGGCUUUAAAACAAACAAAAGGAAAUUGUCCAAUAGUGAACUAUUAUUGUUCUGUGCCAAGCACACUCUCAAUCCUGAUUCUGUUUUCCUAAGAUGUAUGCUCUUGGAACCCAACUCAAGUCAUCUGGAAAAGCAGCAAGUAUUUUUCACUGCUGAGACAUCUCUUCAGCCACCAAAAGCCUGGCUCUUACAAUGUUCAAAAUUGCAAAGAGUACUUAUACCACACAGGAAAACAGUAUUUUGAGAACCUGGAGUCCAGCUCUUCCUCCCAGACGAGACUGUGUUCCCAGGGAGCACCUAUUUGCACCUCGCCCCCUGCUGGAAACAUCCUUCUCUGCAUGCACCUCACAAACCGCACAGAAAGGCUCAGGACAAUGCAGAGCACAAGGUCAGGGUCUCAACUCUGCCCUCUAGGGGCUGAAUGGAGCCAGGCAGAAUCUCCAGAGGGGCCCCUGAGACAAACUGGACAAGAAGCAGAAACCCAGCUCCAUGGAGCCACUUGGCACCUGCAUCUCAGCCCUCGGAAACACCAUCAUCUACUGGAACAGAGAAACUGGUCCUGGAGGGUUAAGACUCCAGUGAUCACCCACAGCAUCCCCGUGAGAACCUCGCUGCCCUGAGUCUCCUGUGUUGUCUGCCUGCCAUGGAUGGCUCCCAUAGCUGCCUUAGCUCCCAAGACACAUUAACAGGCUGUUUGGAAAGGUGAUAAGACCAGAGAAUCUGGGAGGGGAGACUGGAGGAAGGAAAUGGCAGAAGGAGGGGGAGAAAAGGUAGAGGGUGGCCUGGAUGAUAUCCUCAUGUUCCACUCCCUGAAGCCCUGGAGCUUUUUGCCAUAUCACCAGAGGAGGAAUGCAACCAAUUCCUUUAUUCAGAUCCCUCCCAGGAGUCCCUAGCAGCUUAGGUUUUAUUUGAUUCUGGAAGUGGUCAAGUUGACACCCAAGCCUACCAUUACAGUGUGAAUGGUGAAUGGUUAAAUCCUAUUCUUCCUUUGAAACGUGAAAGAAUCCCUCUGCAUUGUAAUUCAAUUUGCUGCUAUGAUGUCUUUAUUACUUACAUUUUUGACGAAAAAAAAACUGUUGCCUUUUACCAAAUUUGAAUCAGGGGCUUUCUGUGAUCUUAAUUCUCGUGAUUCCCCAACCUUGGGCUUAUUCAUUAGUCCAGCGCCUCUCCAGUUAAUUCACAUAUAUGUUGGGUGAGUGUGGUAGCCUGACUGUAAUCCCAAUCCUCAGAACAAACACAAAGAACUUCCAUAUCAAAACAGCUAGCUAGACUAGCCAAAUCAUUGAAUUAUGGCUUCAGUAUAUUAGAAAGCAAGCAAGGAAUACACUGGACAUCAACAUCUGGCCUCUACAUAGACCUACAUACAAAUGCAGUCACACCCAAAAUGUCUUGAUCACACAUUUGCAAACUCACCUUAUAUACAUGCAUACAGUGCAAAAGUAUCAUGACUAAUUGGUUAUUCUUCUGUAAGAGCUCAUAUUUCUCAUCCUCAUCCUGGGCUUAUCUACUAAAUAUGAUAUUUUGAGUUCUAUUGAAUUUUGUGCAAAUUUCAGAACUGCAUCAUUUUUUGUUUGGUUUUUCAAGACAGGCUUUCUCUGUGUAACAGCACUGACUGUCCUGGAACUCACUCUGUAGACCAAGCUGGCCUCAAACUCAGAGAUCCACCUGCCUCUGCCUCUGCCUCCCAAGUGCUGGGAUUAAAGGUUUGUGCCACCACUGCCCAGCUCUAGCUCAUCAUUUUUUAUG